UUUUUUUUUUUUUUUUUUAAGAUUUACUUAUUUAAUUAUUUAUUCAUGAUAGACAUAGAGAGAAGAGAGAGGCAGAGACACAGGAAGAGGGAGAAGAAGCAGGCUCCAUGCCAGGAGCCUGACGCGGUAUUUGAUCCCGGGACUCUAGGAUCCAUGCCCUGGGCCAAAGGCAGGCGCUAAACUGCUGAGCCACCCAGGGAUCCCCUGAGCCACCCAGGGAUCCCCGACUUCUGCAUUUCUUUUGAGCUUUACAGUUUUCUGAUUAUUGUUUUGGGCCUUUGACAUAUAUUUAGAAUAUUUCUCAGUUAUCCUAAAUCAGCUCCUUACCACACUGUAUUAGAUAGGAUUAGGCUUGGCUACAUAUAGGAUAUCCCUGAUAAAUAAUAACAUGACUAAAACAUGAGAUAAAUUCCUUUCAUAUAAAAUCAAUUUGGUAAACUAGUCUGGUAAUUUUUACAAAACCAUUGGUAACCAAAUCCUUCUUACUCUUCACUCUAUAAACCUGAGAGUAUGAAUUUGUCUUCAUGUUUCAGGAAGGCAGCUGGAGAUCCAGGCAUCAUGUUUGCAUUCUAGGAUGUCAGCAGAAAGAAGGAAAUUUAAAAUUUCCUGCAGGUACCUCCUAUACUUUACCUAUAUCUGGAUGGCCAGAAUUUAUUUUCUGGGUCACAUCUGAAACUGGAGAAAAGCUGAGCAUAUCACUAUAUUGAAUAAAAUCCUUUUUUAAAAAUCAGAGGAAAAAUAGAAAAUUAAUAUUGAGGUAGGAAGUUAUCUAUCUCUAUUCUAGUCAUGGAAAAAUGAAGUAUGUAUUUACUGACUCAAGUGAAAAUAAAAGUUAUAGGCUCUUGAAUACAGAGGAUGUAUUUUUCACAAAAUUUAUUUUUCUAAUUCUAGCUCUUAGUCCUGCCGUUUCUCCCAAACUAUAGCAUUAUGGUCCUUGAAACUCCAUUUAUAACACACACAACACACAUCCUCAAAUGCUAAGUACAUACUUGAUAAUGUAUGGCCAUAUCAUUCUUCUCUUUCUGACUCCUGACAUUUUGGAUAAGUUGUUUUCUUCCAAAGGAUACUAGGAUACUCUUCUCGAUUUUAUGUCUACUAAUUAUUUGGGGUUCUGUGUCACUGAUGUUUUGCCUAGAAGGCUAGGUUGGGACCCCUCCCUUGUCAAAAUGGCCACAUUACUUUGUUAUAAUAACUUCUCUAUUGUCAGUCUUCCGAACUAGAAGUCAGUGAAAACAGAGAGGAUCUACAUCUGUUUGUUCCAUGCUCUAACCUUAAUGUCUAGUAUAGUGCCUAGGAAAUAGGUGCUCAAAAAGUUGGUUGAAGGAGUAAAAGAGUAUAAAGGUGAAUGACUACACCCAGAUGAAAAGGCAUUCAAGUUCUGAUUGCUGCCAAGCAAUGAGUGGUUAAGUGUGGUGCUCAGUAGCAGAGGUGUCAGAUUUGGGGUGUGCAAAAAUGUAGUAAUUUUUAUCCAACUGAAAUUAACAUUGAUGUUGAACCCCUUGUUCUACUUGGAUAUUUAAUCUUAGGCAAUUCAAGAUAGACUUCAUCAAGUUACGGUUUUCUCAGUAAUUCCAGGAUUCACCCUUCUGAUUUUGCAUCUCAAUUGUGAGGAAGUUAAAAUACAUCAAGGCAGGAGGAAGAGAGUGCACCUGGGCUGCUCUCUGUCCCAGCUGGCAUCUGCUGAGAUGCACUAUUCUAACUGAUCCUUUGGUUCUGUGACUUUUCUAGUGUGGCAUCUACUGAGGCAUCUGGGUGGCCAUUGGUGUUUAGUUGCUGUAGUCCCCUAGUACACCCGUCAGCCGUUGAGGAGUUCCAACCUAGGAGAUGUGAUUGAACGUGUGAGCUCUUACUUUUAACAACCCCGUGCCUCCCAAGUAGGCACAGGCAAAAUUAAGCUAUUUUUCUAUUCCACAUUGAGGCCAAAGGAAACUCUGUGGAGCUUUCCCAGACACCUGCCUAUAGACAUUCCCAAAGCAUUAUCUCUACCCACUGUUACCUGGCUGAGGUAGAGCCCUAUAUAAGGUUUGCCUCUUGGCUAGUCUCCAGUCAGGAAGUGGGGCACUGGUCUCCUCUUCACUCAGAGCCCAAACCUAUCUAGGAUCCUUUGCCCCUCACCCUCUCCCAAGAGUUUUGGACCUGGUGAUGAUGGUCAGAGGGCAGGAUCUCCUUUCAGAGACUCACACCAUCUAACUUCACCGUUCUCCUCUCAUAUCUCAGACUUCUCUCUUGAAGUUUUUCUCUCUUCAAAAUUGCUUUGGCCAAUCUCACAUGCUUUCAGGUUUAUUGUAUAUGGUAUAAAUGUCACCAAUAACAUGAUUUUAUUUGAUACUUGAAAGGCUUUUGAGGCUCAAAAAUAAUCUUUUGCUUCAUCUUUGUUGCAAGUUUCGGAAGUCUACUUUAAAAUUCAGAAGCUGAGUGUGAAGUCUUUUCACUUACCCUUUGGUCCCUUCUCUGAGCAAAGCCUAAAUGCCCAAAAGGGAGGUCAUGGAGCAAAAUGAGAAUUUUAAGGGAAAAAAACCCCAGAUGGCUUAUUAACAGAUUAACCCAACAUAUUUAUAGUAGGGAUAGUCGAGAAUCACUUUAAAUGCCCCCAACUGGUAGAAUAAAUAAUGUUAUAAUGGAGAGGUAUAAAAUCAUUGAAUAUUUUAAAGCUUUUUUAAUAAUAUAAAAAUCUUUGUUUUAAUAAGUGAAAAGAAUGGUUUAUAAAAGUGACUAUGUACAAAGAUCAGAGCUUUAUACAAAUACUCAGAAAAAUAAUGAGGAAAAAUAUCAUAAUUUUAGCAGUGAUUGGAUAGCAGGACAAUGGGUAAUUUCUAUUUUCUACAUAUCGUAAUUUUUCCUUCUAAGGAACAUGAAUAAGUUUAUGUUUAUAUAUAUUAUAGGUGAUAUAUGUAUUAUAUAUAUGUAUGUAUAUAGUUCCAGUUUGAAAUAAAUAAUAAAAUUUCCUAUAGACCAGCCAGGCAAGUAGCAUCCUUUAUACAAUGAUGGAUGAAUAAGACUUCUAUCUGAGGGUGUUAUAUGUAUUUCUUAAAAAGGGAAGCAAUCUAGGGGAUAAGCCUGAAGUAGUGAAGCCCCCACAAGGAUAUCAAUGGAAUAAUAUGCAGGUGGAGGCAGAAGUUCAUGGCUUGCAGUUAGGGCGGGUUGCUGCCUUUAAAUGCUUGCUCAGAUGUGGGUAGAUUUUGCUCUCUGUCACUGCACAAACAUAUUUAAAGACAUAUUCUACAUUAUAGAGCAAGAAAUUGUGGUAUAUAGAUACAUAGAAUAUUUUAAAAAUUGUGGUUAUUAAUUGUAAGAAGAGAUCAGAUCAAAAAA
rnacentral:lncRNA from 1 species